CUGUUUGGCGGGAAGUCGGCUUGUUUGGCGGGAAGUUGGACCAGUUCCCUAGUCCCCGCCCUUUUCUCCCCAGAGGCUUCUCUCUUACCUCCAUAAUCUCGGCAUACGGUAUAGUAUCCCUUUGUACAGGGGACGCGAUGGCUCCCAGGAAACGCCCAGAAACCCGGAAGACCCCCGAGAUGGUUUUGCGCUCCAGGAGCAGGAGGAGCAGGAGCCCAGGGGAGCUGGAGCCCGAGGCCAAGAAGCUCUGUGUGAAGGGCCCCGGUUCUAGCAGAAGAUUUGAUUCAAACUGCCUUUGGGAGGGGUUGGCUAGCCAGCAGGUCCCACCACGAUGCAGGAGCAUCGUCAGGGCCCUCCAUCACCAUAAGCUGGGUAGAACUGCCUGGCCAUCACUACAGCAGGCUCUCCAGCAGUCCUUUUUGCACUCUCUGGCUUCUUACCGGAUAUUCCAAAAGGCUGCCCCCUUUGACAGGAGGGCCACAUCCUUGGCAUGGCACCCAACUCACCCCAGCACCCUGGCUGUGGGUUCCAAAGGGGGAGAUAUCAUGCUCUGGAACUUGGGCAUAAAGGACAAACCUACCUUCAUUAAAGGGAUUGGAGCUGGAGGGAGCAUCACUGGGCUGAAGUUUAACCCUCUCAAUGCCAACCAGUUUUUUACCUCCUCAAUGGAGGGAACAACUAGGCUGCAAGACUUUAAAGGCAACACUCUCCAAGUUUAUACCAACUAUGGCACCUGCAAUUUCUGGUUCUGCAGCCUGGAUGUAUCUGCUGAAAGCCGAGUGGUGGUCACAGGAGACAAUGUGGGGCACGUGGUCCUGCUGAAUAUGGACGGCAAGGAGAUUUGGAAUCUGAGAAUGCACAAAAAGAAAGUGACCCAUGUGGCCCUGAACCCAUGCUGUGAUUGGUUCCUAGCUACAGCCUCUGUAGAUCAAACAGUGAAAAUCUGGGAUCUGCGCCAGGUCAAAGGGAAAUCCAGCUUCCUCUACUCGCUGCCACACAGGCAUCCUGUCAACGCAGCUCAUUUCAGUCCCGAUGGAGCCCAGCUCCUGACCACAGACCAGAAGAGUGAGAUCCGUGUUUACUCUGCCUCCCAGUGGGACUGCCCCCCAAGCCUGAUCCCACACCCUCACCGCCACUUCCAGCACCUGACACCCAUCAAGGCAUCCUGGCACCCUCGGUACAACCUCAUUGUUGUGGGCAGAUACCCAGAUCCUAAUUUCAAAAGUUGUACCCCCUAUGAAUUAAGGACAAUCGAUAUGUUUGAUGGAAGCUCAGGGAAGUUGAUGCAUCAGCUCUAUGACCCAGAAUCUUCUGGUAUCAUUUCGCUCAAUGAAUUCAAUCCUAUGGGAGACACACUGGCCUCUGUGAUGGGUUAUCACAUUCUCAUUUGGAGCCAGGAGGAAGCUGGGAAGCGGAAAUGAGAGACAUUAAUGAAGGUGUAGGCCAAGGGCUUGGAGCCACGUGACAAGUCUGCGAGAAGAGGCGGCUAUGUGUUAAAGGGCCCAAGGUCCUAAGGGAGCAUGGAGGAGACAAAUCCUAUUUGGAGACAGCCAAUAUCCAACAGUACUUGGCCAGGAUCCUUGAAGGCAGAAACUAUCUCCACUCACACCCCGUUCUAUAAACUGGCUUAGAGACCAGGGAGAGGAAAUAAAGAACAGAGAUAACUGCCUGUAGAGAAAGGAAAAAGCUGCAGGAUGGAGCUGGCCCUCAAGGGAACAACAACAUCUAGAGACUCUUGAGACUGCUGAGACUGGUAACGAAGCGCAGAGUCCGGGCCUUGAUGGAUGGCAUCACGAUCAGGUUCACGCCAAGAAGGAGGUGGAGAAGAGCCGCCCAGCUCCAGCCACAAUGUCCGCCCGCCAUCAC